AAUCAAAAUGCAAUAGGAUUGCCCUGCCAAUCAAAGGCAAAGCCGAGAAAAGCGCUUCCAUCGCUCGCAGAAGUCACCUGUGCGGCCCACUCCCCUCCAGUUGCACAGCUCAAGUCCAAGGCAGCCAGAUCCUGGCCAGUAUUUUCGGACCACAUCAGGACAAAUAGCCAGUGCCCAGUGUAAGCGUAAGCGGCGCAUUUAUUUGCCAAGCGCACUUUUUGCAUUUGCCAAACAAGAGUGCGGCUCCUGCCAGGACGAGGCCUUGUCCUCCGUCUGUUUGAACACGAGCCUACACUUCGGACCUCGUCCUGGCCCGGGACAAAUAGACGCACGGCAUGGGUGCUUUGGGUACUUUGGUUACUUGGCCAGUGACCACCGGCGAUUGUAAUUGCGGCACUCUGCACACU